AUUGAACGCUGGCGGAAUGCUUUACACAUGCAAGUCGAACGGCAGCACGGACUUCGGUCUGGUGGCGAGUGGCGAACGGGUGAGUAAUGUAUCGGAACGUGCCCAGUCGUGGGGGAUAACGUAGUGAAAAUUACGCUAAUACCGCAUACGAUCUAUGGAUGAAAGCGGGGGAUCGCAAGACCUCGCGCGAUUGGAGCGGCCGAUAUCAGAUUAGGUAGUUGGUGGGGUAAAGGCCAGCCAAGCCAACGAUCUGUAGCUGGUCUGAUAGGACGACCAGCCACACUGGAACUGAGACACGGUCCAGACUCCUACGGGAGGCAGCAGUGGGGAAUGUUGGACAAUGGGCGAAAGCCUGAUCCAGCCAUUCCGCGUGCAGGAUGAAGGCCCUCGGGUUGUAAACUGCUUUUGUACAGAACGAAAAGGUUUCUACUAAUACUAGGAGCUCAUGACGGUACUGUAAGAAUAAGCACCGGCUAACUACGUGCCAGCCGCCGCCGUAA
rnacentral:rRNA from 1 species